GUACACACCGCCCGUCACACCACGAGAGUUUGUAACACCCGAAGUCGGUGGAGUAACCGUAAGGAGCUAGCCGCCUAAGGUGGGACAGAUGAUUGGGGUGAAGUCGUAACAAGGUAGCCGUAUCGGAAGGUGCGGCUGGAUCACCUCCUUUCUAAGGAUUUUUACAUGACGUACGUUUUGACACUUUGUUCAGUUUUGAGAGUUCAAUCUCUCAUUAAUAAUUGCGCCUGCGAUUACUCGGCGCAAAACUGCACGUAGAUAUCACAGUGAUGUUUAUCAUGAUGUGAUUGAAGUCAGUUGUUUUGUUCUUUGAAAACUAGAUAACAGUAAUUGCUGAGGAAAAGUGAAACUUUUCUUUAAUCAAACCAAUAAAUAACACAACAAUAUGUUGUACCAUUUAUUCGCUAAUGGUUAAGUUAGAAAGG
rnacentral:misc_RNA from 1 species